rnacentral:rRNA from 1 species
UCUCUCUGAAUCUGCGAACGGCUCCGCAAACCAGUUGUAAACAUAGGCAAGUCCCGCUCUUGGUUGGCUCUUUCGGGGGUUGGCCUUGGGCACUUAUAUGGAUAACCGUGGUAAUUCUGAGGCUAAUACAUGACAAUGCUACCCUGCCGCCGGGCUGCUGGUACUUCGGUGCUGGUGUGUCUAGUGGCGGGGGACGCGCGAGACAAGGUUGGGUAAUUCGGGAAAGAACGCGCGUUCAGACCACCGCUUGCGGGCCUCGCGUAGGACAGGUGCGGCUUGCCGUGCCUUACUUGCUUGGCCUGGUGGCUCCUGCUUCGUGCUUCUGACCUAUCAACUAGAUGGCAGCAUACGGGACAUGCCAUGGUGACAACGGGUACAGAGGAUUAGGGUUCGAUCCUGGAGAGUGGGCCUGAGAGAUU